UCGAAGCUUCUAAAGGAUAAUAGUUCAUCCGUUGGUCUUAGGAACCAAAAACUUUUGACGCCACU
rnacentral:tRNA from 1 species